UUUUCACAUUAUCCCUUACAUAAUAUAACGUAAUUAUUAGUAUUAUAACGCAAUAUAUCAUUAUAUAAAUAUAAUAAAAUAAAAAAACGUUUAACACCUAACUGUUAUAUGACACAUUCUAAAUCUGGCAGUGGGUAUAUAAGCUCACACACAGCGUACUCACACCUCACUCACUCAGUGGACAUCCCAACUGGACAUCCCAACUGGACAUCCCAACUGUCAGUUUCUCUGAGACCCUGCCCUACAGACAGACUAGCACGAUGUCAUCUCAGAAGGUUGGAUUUUACAUAGUUAUUUUUGAACAAGAAAAUGCAAUUGCUGUGGCGCCUGCAUUAUGGGUAGAGGAGGUGAAUGGGGUUCUGAUUUGCUACUGGCCCCGUAGAAACGCUGCUGCCAUGGCAAAGGCCUCCCAAAGGCCAGAUAAGGAGCUCUGGAAGCGGCACAAAAUAAGAAUACUCUCCGAGACUGACAACUAUAAGACAGCCAGAGAGCGAGCCAAAAAAGCUGUAGAAAGUUCAAACGUGGACACAGAAGAAGAGGUGCUAAAAGAGCGGAAAAAAAAGGUACCAUCAAAAUACUGGACAGAGAGUGAAGGAGAAUGUGAGAUUCCUACCAAAAAAAGGAGAAAAAUGUCCACAUCCUCUCAAAAGCCAUCAAGCCUCCCAAAGCCUCCAAGUUACAAACCACCUACUGACAUCACAAUCACAGCUCACUCACCUGAGGAAGAUGAGCCAUCCCUGCCAAAUCUUUCAGCUAAUAAUACUUUCCAUGAUUUCCAGCAUCUCAUCGAGCAAUCUGAGCAGCGGAUGCUCCUCGCAAUAGAGAGAAUGUCGACAGAUAUUUCAAAUUCUAUUGAGCGUCUGGUCCAGACUAUUCAACAGAAUCAUCCUGGUCCGGCAACCAUCACAACACCACCACAGGAGACCAUUGAGAGGCCCUGCAAAACAGUGCAGGAGCUGCAAGCUUUCAUAUUAAAACUUGAGGGCCCAGAAGGGAAAAAAAAGGAUGAUACAGUUUUUGAGCCUGAUGGGAGGUAG
ensembl:lncRNA